AUUGAACGCUGGCGGCAGGCUUAACACAUGCAAGUCGAGCGAGCGGCGGACGGGUGAGUAAUGUGUAGGAAACUGCCUGAUGGAGGGGGAUAACUACUGGAAAACGUAGCUAAUCACGCAUACCAUCAGAUUUGCCAAGAUGGGCUUAGCUGGUAGGUGGGGUAAUGGCUCACCUAGGCGACGAUCCCUAGCUGGUCUGAGAGGAUGACCAGCCACACUGGAACUGCGACCCGGUCAGUACGCGUACGGGAGGAAGAAGUGGGGAAGAUUGGCAAUGGAGCGCAAUCCUGAUGCGGCCAUGCCGGGUGUGUGAAGAAGGCCUUCGGUUUGUAAAGCAAUUUCAGCGAGAAGGCGUUACUCGCAGAAGAAGCAACGGAUAACUCCGUGCCAGCCGCCGCGGUAAUUC
rnacentral:rRNA from 1 species